rnacentral:ncRNA from 1 species
AUACGGGCCUAUAGCUCAAUGGUUAGAGCAGGGGACUCAUCGAAAGGUGCCGCCGUGCAGGAAUGCAUGGACGGGAACGGGAUGAAUUCAGGGAAACCUCAGCGGCGCAGACGCGGCCGGUGGCAACCCUGAGCCAAGCCGCCGGUACACCGGCGGAAGGUGCAGAGACUACCUGAGGGCUUCAGCGCCCUUCAUUACAGGCUAGAGCGUCCCGCACCCCAACCGCACGAAGCCAUGCAACGUGCGAAGGGUGAAGAGAUAGUCCGCGCCGAAGGGAAACCUCCGG